AUUGUCUUUUUUUAUGCCUCCCUCAACUUGCUCUUUUUUUGUACGGCUGUUCUGUUGCUCUGCUAAUUCAAUCUUCACACUCUGGUCUUUCUGAUGGAAUGUGCAGUCAGUGAAGACUGGCCACCUGGCCAUGCGUAUAUAGGCGUGAAACCUCAAAUACUAUUGACCAGGUGUUUCAGUUUCAUUGUCCGACCCCUGUAGUAGGCGAUAUGUAUGUAAUAACCGUAUGUAUUACUGUUAAAGGAUUGUUAGAAUAUUUUUUUGAAAUGUGCUCAAUUUUCCAAAUUGCUCAUUUUCACAUCUUCAUUUGACAAUGUGGGCAGUUAACCAUGAUUUUCACGUAAUACAUUUUAAAAAAUUAUGCUGACACUCCUGUUACAGUAAUGCAUAUGGUUACUGCAUACACAUUGCCCAAUAUGUCAUAAAUGAUCCUUAGAUGUAAACCUGACAGAAAACACUGUUCUUAUAUCACCACAGUUCAAAAUCUAAUAGAAGUCAAACGUGAGUAUCGGUAUAUUCUACAAUCAUCAUACACUAUAUGGUCAAAGGUAUUAGAACACCUGGCCAUUACACCUAUAGGAACUUUUUAUGACAUCCCGUUCUCAAUCCAUAGGCAUCAAUGUGGAGCUGGUCCCCCAUUUCCAGCUAAAAUAGCUGUCACUCUUCUCUUUCCACAAGAUUAUGGAGUGUGUCUUGCUCUUUCAUCAAGAAGAGCAUUUGUGAGGUCAGGCACUGAUGUUGGACGUGAAGGCCUGGCUCAUAAUCUCUGAUCUAGUUCAUCCUGAAGGUGUUCAUUGGGGUUGAGAUCAGAGCUCUGUGUGGGCCAGUCAAGUUCUUCCACACCAAACUCAUCUAACUAUGUCUAUAUGGGUCUUGCUUUGUGCACCGGGGCACAGUCAUGCUGGAACAGAAAAGGGCCUUCCCCAAACUGAUCCCACAAAGUUGGAGGCAUGGAAUUGUCCAAAAUAUCUUGAUAUGCAGAACCAUUAAGAGUUCCCUUCACUGGAACUAAGGGGCCUAACGCAACCCCUGAAACCCAGUCCCAUACUAUUAUCUCUCCUCCGCCAAACUUUAUAGUUGGCACAAUGCAGUCUGGCAGGUAACGUUCUCCUCGCAUCCGCCAAACCCAGAGUUGUCCUUCAGACUGCCAAACAAAGAAACAUGAUUCAUAACUCUACAGAACAGGUUUCCACUGCUCCAGGGUCCAGUGGUGGCGUACUUUACACCACUCUGUCCAACACUUGGCAUUGAACUUGGUGAUGUGAGGCAUGUGGUUAGGAUGUGUGUGCUGGGGUUAGUGCCAAAGGAGGUCUGGAACUCUGUAAUUGCUGAGUACACUAUGAUGAUCAGCUCAUCUGACACUGAUCCUGAGAACUCCAGCCAACAGCCACCAAAAGCAUGAAUUCACCCUCCCUGAUGUCACAGUAUUUGACCUCAGAAGAGAUUUAGUUAAGAUAUACAUCUGCAACAAAUUUUUGUUUAAUACAUCCCACUACCAUUCUUGGGCAUAAUGUAGACUUCUUCGUGUUUCGGGUGGUUCUUUGGGGCGCUUUCAAUGGACCCUUUUGGGGGAUAUUUGUGUGUUCGCUGCCUGAAACACGGUUCGCGAACCGGUACAAAAAAAAUUUGGUUCGUAACCCGAUUUGUUCGUGAACAGGACUGUUCGUGGGUCGAGGUACCGCUGUACUCACUUGGUGUUUCUCCCCAAACAUAUUUAUUUUUCAUUAUUCAGUCCAAGUUAUCCAUCUUUAUUCUGAAAAAGAAAAUAACUUAGAUCUAAUCUGGAAUUAAAAAACUUUGCUUUCGUGUGUGUCCAUGAAUGUAUGUACAUGCUUUGUGUGUAAAUAUUGUCUUGAAUUCAGCUGAGAUCUUCGCAUGAGAGCCUUACGUGUAACAGCCUGAUCGUGUGUUUAAACAAAUUCAUGCUCAGCAACCCCGUACAGCGCAGGCUACACUGCCACCAGGUGGUGUUGGAGGGGAAAACAAUUAAUUUAACAGAACAAAGGGACUUAUAACUGAUGUAAGAAUAUGCAUUUAUGAGCAAUUUCAUCAGUUACUGAGGUGUUACCAUACAUUUUAUUACCGCCGCUCGAAUGCUGUUUUUAUUUUUCCCCAUUCCAUUGGCGUACCGUGUAUAUCCGUGGUAUUACCGCGUAUUAUACUCUUCUGCAGCUCUCAUAUCUGUAUACACGCGUUUAUUUGCUUUGUCUAAUUUGUCCUCUAGUUGCAUUCAGGAAAUUUUCUUCUCAUUUCUGUCUGGUUUUGCUUUCAGGUUCUUCUCUUUUACUGCCAGAUAAUGACAGACAAGAUGAGAUGAAUGUGCAGACCUGAUACACACUACAAUAUACUGUCUAUUCUUUGUAAAUCUGCUACAACCUUAUUAAUCAGCAGCAGUCAUGAACAGAAUAAAUUUAAUAAUAAGUUCCAUGUA